GGUAGAAUGGGAAGAAACGGGUUUCCUGGGAUGGCUGGCGCAGAGGGAAUGAAGGGUGAACCCGGUAUCACAGGAAUAGUUGGACCCAUGGGAGAAAGGGGUUUGGUUGGAUUUAUCGGACCUGUGGGAGAGCCAGGACUGGCAGG